GAACCAGGAGAUGUUCUUGGUGGU
rnacentral:snRNA from 1 species